AUUCCAGCUCCAAUAGCGUAUAUUUAAGUUGUUGCAGUUAAAAAGCUCGUAGUUGGAUCUUGGGUCGUAAGGGUCGGUCCGCCUACUCGGUGUGCACCUGCCCUUCCGUCCCUUUUGUCGGCGGCGUGCUCCUGGCCUUAAUUGGCUGGGUCGCGGUUCCGGCGCUGUUACUUUGAAAAAAUUGGAGUGCUCAAAGCAAGCUUAUGCUCUGAAUACAUUAGCAUGGAAUAACGUGAUAGGAGUCUGGUCCUAUUGUGUUGGCCUUCGGGACCGGAGUAAUGAUUAAUAGGGACGGUCGGGGGCAUCAGUAUUCAAUUGUCAGAGGUGAAAUUCUUGGAUUUAUUGAAGACUAACUACUGCGAAAGCAUUUGCCAAGGACGUUUUCAUUA
rnacentral:rRNA from 1 species